rnacentral:rRNA from 1 species
AUGCACGCUGGCGGCGUGCCUAAUACCUGCAAGUCGAGCGCACGGACGAGAAGCUUGCUUCUCUGAUGUUAGCGGCGGACGGGUGAGUAACACGUGGAUAACCUACCUAUAAGACUGGGAUAACUUCGGGAAACCGGAGCUAAUACCGGAUGAUAUUUUGAACCGCAUGGUUCAAAAGUGAAAGACGGUCUUGCUGUCACUUAUAGAUGGAUCCGCGCUGCAUUAGCUAGUUGGUAAGGUAACGGCUUACCAAGGCAACGAUGCAUAGCCGACCUGAGAGGGUGAUCGGCCACACUGGAACUGAGACACGGUCCAGACUCCUACGGGAGGCAGCAGUAGGGAAUCUUCCGCAAUGGGCGAAAGCCUGACGGAGCAACGCCGCGUGAGUGAUGAAGGUCUUCGGAUCGUAAAACUCUGUUAUUAGGGAAGAACAUAUGUGUAAGUAACUGUGCACAUCUUGACGGUACCUAAUCAGAAAGCCACGGCUAACUACGUG